rnacentral:rRNA from 1 species
AUUGAACGCUGGCGGCAGGCCUAACACAUGCAAGUCGAGCGAGCGGCGGACGGGUGAGUAAUGUAUGGGGACUGCCCGAUAGAGGGGGAUAACUACUGGAAACGGUGGCUAAUACCGCAUACUAUCGGAUAACCCAUAUGGGAUUAGCUAGUAGGUGGGGUAAAGGCUGACGUAGGCGACGAUCGCGAGCUGGUCUGCGAGGAUGAUCAUCCACUCUGUGAAUGAUACACGGCCCAGACUCCUACGGAGGCCGCAGGGGGGAAUAUUGCACAAUGGGCGCAAGCCUGAUGCAGCCAUGCCGCGUGUAUGAAGAAGGCCUUAGGGUUUUAAAGUACUUUCAGCGGGGAGGCGUUACCCGCAGAAGAAGCACCGGCUAACUCCGUGCCAGCAGCCGCGGUAAUAC